AAGUGUGGAGCCAAACAGAGUACGGUGCAUAGACUGUAUAUACAUAUUUUUUCUUGAGUUUUCAUGGUCAGAAUGAGAGAUCAGGUGGCCGAUCUUAAAAUAAAUCAAUAUUGAUUUUUUUAUAGAGCGUUAAAGUUUUGCGAAGCCAGGGGGCGGGACUACUUGAUUGACAGUCCGGUCUGGAAAGCUUGACAGGUCCUAUGGAGGAGGCAGCAGAGACUCUGUUCUCCUCGUUUGGAUUAAUUCUGAUAUAAUAACUGUUGGUUUAUUUAUCGGUGGAGCAGCAGAACCUUUUCCACAGACAGUUUACCUUCUCGUUGGCUUGUUUUAACCAGUUUUCUGCCUUCAGUUGAUUCUACCAGCAGACACUGAAAGGACUCUGAUAGUUCCAGUGAAAGUAGCAGUUCCUCCAGAACUGGUCAGAGAUUGCAGCAUCUGAGGGCCUCUUCAAAAGAAGACGUAGUUGAUGAAGGCGUUCUGGAGCAGGACCAGAAAGACCACGACCAAGCAGCCUUGAGAUCUUAGGCAGCGUCUCCCUCAGACCAAAGAACUACAGACUCUUCACAACCUGCUCAAACUCUUGGUACAGGACCUCACCACACGGGUCAAGAAGACCAAAGAACUACAGACUCUUCACAACCUGCUCAAACUCUUGGUCAAGAAGGUUUCUGUCUCAUUUCUACUCUGAAGCUCACCUUCUCCUGCUCAAACUGCUGACAAAUGCUUCUGCUGCUCUAAAGUCUGGUCUCCAGAACUUUCUAAAAACUCUAAGUCUCUUCUGCUGCAGGUUGCUUUGUAGAACUGUUGCAGAAAACCUCACUAAACCACAUGGAGGGGCCUCAAGAUAGUCGUCCAAAUGAAACCGUACAAAAACCAAACUAGCACAACCCAAACGCUAAAGUCUCCUGCAGCCUACCAGAGAACCUCUGAGAACAGAGAAUCAGGACAGGAACUCUUACCUUCUGGACAACCAAUGUUGGUUCACAAACAAGAAUUCAGAAUGUGUCUGACCAAAAACCUCUAAAGACUCACUACAGCCAAGAUAAAGACACAACUCAGCUAACUGUGGCUAAAGCACCACAUUUACUAAGACAACUAUCCAGUACAAAGCCCUAAAACACACCAAGAAACACAUUAAAGACGAUUUUACUGCUGGAAGCUGCAAGCCAACGCCUAAAGAACAAGCUAAAGCAACGGAGCCAAACCCAGUUCAGUGGUGAACAGAAGCAGAGGAAAUGUUUGCCUGCAGCUAAAUAAAGCAGGAAGACACUGAGCUGCUCAGGUGUUCCUGAUAACACCUAGCAGCCACCUGGACAGCCAAUAGGAACACAGCUUACUGGAAGUCCAGAGGGCUGGGUGAGUGAUGUCAUAUCAUGUAAAAGUCCAACUUAUUUUGGAUCCUUGUGGAGAGUUUAAUCUUAGAGUUUGUAAAGCUGUUGAGUUUUUAGAGUCACACGGAUUGUUUUGACAUUUAAUAACCGAGUCCUGAAAUAAAAUUACAGUUGUGGAUUUCUGUCAUUUCGUCUGGACUAAACAAAUAACAGCAGCAUAAAU
ensembl:lncRNA